AUUUGUUGUGCGCGCUGUUCGCCCGGGCACACCUGUGCCAGGCCGUCUAGGCGCCCGCAUCGGUUUGCCCUUUUCACUCAAGGAAAAUACAAAGACGGAGCCCUCUUGGAGGUCACGCUGGUGCCGCCUGCAGGGCCCCCUCCUGAUCUCGGGUAAGAAAAGCGCGGGCAGGUCCACACAGGGCCACCCUCCGGCACGUGUUGACCUGAUUCUGACUCCUGCCUGAGGGUCGGACCCCUUUUGGCAGUCGGAGGAGGGAGGACCUCCAGACACCUGCAUCUAGGCCUCUGCUUGGCGGAGCCCCACCUUGUUUCUGCUUGGCUCUGGAGAAUCAUGGACACAGCUCCGCAGGGACGUAGGCAGGCCUGGAGAGAAGGGCAGCUCAAAGGAGUUUCUGCGAAGUUGCCUCUGACAGACGUUUAGGAAACUGGCCUCCUGCAGAGCGACAAUCUGGCUGGGGCCUCGCCUAGGGCCUCCAGCAAGGCGCUGUGGUCCAGGUCCGGAUCCCAGGCGCGCAGAGCUGCGGACACCAGGCGAACAGAGAGGGGUGCCAGACGUCAGAAAGAGCACUGCCUCUGCUGCAGGCAUGCUCUGCUCUCCAUUGGCCCCUUGUGAGGGCAGGCUGGCUGGCGCAUCCAGGGCUCUCCCUGAGUUACCAGCUCAGAUUGCCCGCUGUUGAGUAAGCAAAUGUAACAAGAGGAAUAAAAGCAGACCUCAGCAUUUGGAGGGUGUGAGAGCUCAUCCAGUCCAAUCCUCUACCGGGGACAAAAAAAAAAAAAGAAAUUCCACAUAUCACUGCAGGUCUAGUGUUGGCUUGCAUGCCUCUGGGGACAGGGAACUCAUUACCUUGCACAACUGUACAUUGCUCCUUAAGUACUAUGAUUUGGGAACAGAUUAAAAACAAAAGUGAUUGAUAUUGCUAUAUUGUCUUUUUAUUAAAAGGAGAGGCCAGUCACGUAAUAGAAGUUGUGGUCGUGGGUUUUUGUUUUGUUUUUAACCUAGGAACCCUCCAAACUGUGCAGAAGUUGGGUGUGGGGAAGAUGCUGGGAAUGGCUUGCACAAUGGCAUCGGAUUAGUGAUGACCCUGGGUGCUCCUGGGGCUGGGAGCUGGGGAUCCAGAGCGUCCACGGCGAGACCCCGGCUCUCCCUCAUUCCAUGUGUCCAUGCGAAUCCCCAGAGCAGUCCAGAGGCCAAGCAUCUGCUCGGGAAGCUGAUGCAGAACGUAAGCACCUAAAAGAUCUCCUUUGAGGACAGGAGGCCCUUGGUUGUCUCUGAGUCUCUUUCUUUUGGGAGAAGAAAACUUUUUCAAGCCAAGAAAGUUUGGAAAUAGAGCCACUGGGUGAGCAGGGCGCUGCGUGUGGGCGAUCCUGCAGGCUGCGCAAGGUGAUUCCCGUGCAGGAAGGAAGCAGAGGCUCUGGGCAGAGCGCCUCUGGGGCCCAGGCAUCCAGUCAGCUCUGGCAAAGCUGGUCCUACCCACACACCCGCUCUGGGAUGCUGUCCGCGUCCUUGGCUUUGGAGUAAAAACAACAAGAUGUAAAAGAGGAGCGCCUCUUUGUCUCGGGCCUAGCGUUCCUCACGAGGGGUGAGCGCCUCUGUCCCCUGCACAGGAGCUUCGAGGAGGGCAAGACCUGUUGGAUUCUGCAGGAUUUUAAAUCGCCAUCCAAUGGAAUAGCACCAUAUUUAUGAACACGUCCUUCUGAGGGAAGCCUUCGCACCCCUGCUGAGAGUGAGGCCAAGGCCUGGAGCAUCUAAGCCUUCGUCGGGAGGUUGCCCGGGGCAGUUUGGCUGGACUCAGAAACACACUUAGAAAAACUAGUCAUUCCACCAUGGACAUCAUUAUUUUACAAUAAAGCAGGGUUUUUUUUAUUAAUGUAACUUUCAAGAAUUUAAACACACAAAAAUGCAGGGGGAAUGUUCACAUUUUUGAUAACCACAAUUGUAAAUAGAAACAUUCAUUUCUUGUAAGAUCAUAAAUAUUUGAUACUGGAAUUGUAAAAUGCAUAUGUUUUAUCAACUGAAAAAAAAAAUAAAAAAUAAAAAACCAAAACACUUUUCUUCCUGCUAAAAAGGCAUAAUCAUCUCAUUGUUUCCUAAGCAGCAGAUGGUUAUUCACAGAAUUUUAAAUUACAACUUUUCUUUUUAUAGUUUCCUUUUUAAAAAGGUUUACACGAGUAUGUACAAAGUGAAACUAUUAUCGCAGUGAAAUAAAGAGACUUAAGGCAAAUAGAGAAGUUCACCCUCAGUCCUCAGGGGCACCACCAUGACUCUGGAUGGGCCAUGGGCAUGCCCGCUGGGCUGUCCCGGCGGCAGAUGGCCAUUUGGACACGAUUCUAUUUUUCCAUACACUAAACAGAAGACAGUGUGGAACUAUAUAUAUAGAUCAUGUGUUUGUUUAUAUAUAUGUACUUGGUGGGGGAUAUAUUGAAUAUAUUUAAUUUACACUGUGCCACACCUUCAAAAAAUAAAAUGUAUAUAAAAAGAAACAAGAAAAGACAUAAAGUGAUAAGAAAUUAUUAUUUACACAGUCUCUUCCUUCCUCGAGCUCCUGGAGGAUUCUGAGUUCCUUUCAAAGUCAAGGUGACCACAUGUUCCAGAACUGUGGACUCAUGUGUGUUUGCUUGAGCGUGUUUGUACAUGCAUACAUAUGUAUACACUCACAUAUUUACCUUGAAAGAAUGCUCUCCAUAGCAGAAGCAGCCACUUAAAAAAAAAAAAA